GAUAAAGAGAAAAAGGAAUUUCUAAAUCUAAACAGAACUAUUUAGAAAGUUUACCUCAAAUGUCUAUCACUUGUAAGAGCUGUAUAAUAUAUUUCUCUCACUGUUAACACUUUAGGUAGGUCUUCGUUCUUUGGUUUGCAACUUUUUAGUUUCAAAUAUUUUGUCUACUACAAGAACUUCAAGCUUCAGUGGACGUGGGUGGUCUUAUCAAUGUCAUAAUAUACUAAACAAGUAGAUAUUUGUGAAACAAGUUGACAAAAACGAAAGAAGUUCUUAUUCAUCUUAAUGAACCUUUCUAACAUUUUUUUAAUUUUGAUAAAAAAUGAACAUUUUAACAACAUUAAUUUCUUAAAUGUUCAUUUAUCUUUUGCACCAAUGCUAAAGAAAAUUUAACCAUUCAUGUGUUGUAUAUCAUAUCAUUUUAUCAUAUGCAUCAUAUUUGCACCUUAAGAUACAUUCAAUAUAAGAUUUACCCCUGGCCAGUUCUGCCAGUAGGGCCAGGAGCUGGUUUGGGGAAUCAUAGAGCCUAUGGAAUCCCAACUGGUUCAUGGGUUCCCGCCCCAGCAUGUAUUAGUGAUACAUAUCAAUUUACCUCUAAAUGGAUUGGGUCGUGAAUUAUAAGAUACUGACAAGACUUGUACUAAUAGACAUGAGAGACAUGCUUAUAAUGUGAAAUAUGAAUUUUCUUUUUUUCUUUUGAAGAUGUCAUUCAAAGGAUACCUAACUUCUUGAUGGUUUUGAAUACUUUUAACAGUUUAAAAAAAUAAAGGAUGCUAUUGAAUCGCACAACACUGCUCAUUGCAGCAUUGGUCCAACUAAGGGUGUUGGAGAUCUUAACCUUGAAGCUUUAUCUGCUCCACAGAAGAACGGAAAUGAGAAGAUUUUUAUUUUGAUUCAGGCUUCUGCCUAUAAUUUGCAUCCCCCCAUGUUUGUGGCCAUCAAAAGUGAUGUCUGAUAUAUUAUUUUGUACCAAAAGAGUAUUGAGCUCCUGAUCUUGAAGCUUCCAUUCAAGAGGCUUGUCCAUGAAAUUGCUCAGGACUUCAAGUUCAUGGGUCUUUGUUGCAAGUGGUGUCUUGAAAUGACUGGAUGGCAAGUGGUGUCUUGAUAUGAACUGCAUCAUGUGGACAACAAACAUUAGUGGCAUAGUAGAUUGUCCACAAAUGUUGAGCUCAAAACUUGUAUUCUUAGUAGUGAACAAACAAUAUUGAAUUUUAGAUGUUAAGUUGAGUGAGUUUGGGGCUUGGGAUCAAUUUGAGGGAGUAUUUGAAUUCAAUAGAGUUAAUAAUAAAUUGUGAUUAGUUUGGUUUGGGUUAGAUUUUUGCAUCUUUUUGUAAGUUGAAUAAAUGAUACUAAAUAAAAGCUAAAAAUACUUCUGUCCA